UAAUAAUAAUAAUAAUAAUAAUUUAUUAAUAUAAAUAUAGUUAAUGUAUGCGCGCAAUUCGUUCGCCGGUACAAUAAUACGCUCGCGACGCGUUUAAAAACUAAUCGUUUAUCGUAAAAACGGUACAUUUUUAUUGACUAGAGUCACAUACAGAAGUUAACACCUAUUUUAAUAAUAUAUUAUGCAUGCGCGUAUAGUAAAUGCACGAUACAAUAUACAGGGUGGGAUUUAGGACGGGGGUUGAGGGGGG